rnacentral:lncRNA from 1 species
GGGAAUUCUGGGAGAUAUAAUUCAAGUUGAGAUUUGGGUAGGGACACAGCCAAACCAUAUCACAUCAUUCCUAAAGAACCACAUUAGCAUAAGACUUUUAAAAAAUAUAUAGCCUAAUAGUUUUACUUUUACCUGGGAAUGUCAGACAUAUCGACAAACUGCAUGUGUUGAUGCUUAAAACAUAGCAAGUUCUUCAAAACAAAUAUCUUGCAAGCUCACAGAUAAGCCUCAAGAAUCAUCAUUUCUUAUUCAUAUUUAAAAAUUAAAUAGGUUUUCAUCCGUGGCAGGGGUACGUCUAUAUACUUCAUUGGUAGUAAGAGAGAUUUUGCUUUAGGUUAGAAAAGUUUUUAUUUUUUCGGGUGAAUUAUGGCAAAUUCUACUGCCCUCUGUUCUUUAUUUUUGAAGUGUUUGUUUUUAAACAAAGUUUCUAUAAGAACUCAAAUGAAAUAAUAUUUAAAAACAUUGUAUCCUGGAAGCCCAAUAGUUGUACUUCAGACUCUAACAAAGACUUUCAAAGAAAAAAGAAGAGUAGAAAAAGAAUUGUCUUCUGUAAUUUGCCUCUCAUAUGAGUUUCUAGGUUUCAGGGCUACAUUAAAAUAGAAUUGUAAAAUAGGUGGGCACUUUGAAUACCAAUUUAUAAUGCAUUCAUUCAUCUAUUAACUGUUUGUUGAGUGUCUACCGAAUGUCAAACACUGUGCUAAGUACCUGGGAUAUAUUGAUGAGGGAAAACAGACACAGUCUCUGUCUUCAUAGUGCUGCAAGCUAAUAGGGCAGGGUAGUGGACAUCAGUAAAAUAAUCACAUAAGCAUGUGUAAAACUGCAAGUGUGACAAGCACUGUGGAGAAGAGGCGCAUGAUGCAAUGAGGGAAGCCUGCUCUGGAGACAUGAUGAUUAAAGUCUGAUUUGAAGGAAGAAGGUAGUAAAGAACUUGCUUAAGGAGGAAAGGGAGAAGGCAUGAAAAAGAGGGAACAACAUGUGCAAAGCCAAGUGAUUAUAGGGAAUAUAGAACUGAAGGGAGGUCAAGGUGGCUGGAAUUCUCAGUUAGAGAAAGCAGGAGUGUAGAUGAAGGUCAUACUCUUUCACUUGUUUCAUCAAUAUUUGUUGAGCACCUAUUAUGCACUUAAUAUUGUUCUAAGUGCUUGGAAUAUUUAAGUGCUCAGUUUGUUAUAAAAGUGAAGACACUGAAGAGUUUUAACCAGGCCAGGAUGGGGGUGGAGUGGUGAUAGGAUCAUAUGAUCAUAUUUGUGUUUUGCAAAUAUAACUAGCUCCAAUAUGGAGAAUGGCUGAGAAAAGGCCAGAGUAAAUUCUCUGGAUGAGUUAGAGGCUACUACAGUAAUUCAGCUAAGAGACAAUGAUAGCUUUGAUGAGAAGAGUGAUGCCAGAGAUGACCAGAGUAGGUGGCUUCAAGAGAUAAUUUCAGAUGCAAAAUAGGACAUUAUGAUAGACUGAGGGGGCAGAAAGGGAAAUGUUAAGGAUUCGUUUUCAUUUUCUAACUUGCACAGCUGAAUAGAUUUACAUAAAAUAAUGGCAAUAAUAAUAAUAAUCAACAUUACCAGUAGCUUCCACCUAAUUUUGGGGUGGUGAGGGGCUGUGGGUAGGAAUUACUGAGAUGUAGUCUUCAGUCAGAGUAGACUGAACUCACCAUAAAUGACCUAAAAUGAUUGCCUCAAAUCUCUUCCUGAUUUUUUUUUUCUUAGACAGAGUGGACAUGUCCCAAAUAUGUCAGAACUUCCCCAUUUCUGAUACUCCAGGUGAACAGCGAAGGCUUUCAUGCAUGGCUUUGGCCAUGCAAUAUUGCCAAGAGUCUUUUUUCCCCUUUAGACAAAGCUCCUUCUGAAAAGAGCAAUAAGACGUAGUUCCCAAAGAGUAAAUUAGGUAUCCAAUGGAAGGGGUGAAGCAAUGGCUGGAGAAGAAUAUACACCACACUCUCAGCCAGGAGCCAUGUAGGAUCAAAGUCUGCAGCAUGGAGAUACAGCGUGUGGGGCUGGAGCCAGGGUGAGUGAGAGGGCGUGGCUAAGAAAGGCUGAGGAAACACGCUGAGCUGACAUCCCCGGAGACCCUUUGUGCUUUGCUCAGGUUUGACUUUACCCUUAAAGGCAACAGGGAGACUUUGAAAAGGUUAGGAAAAUAUCAGGAGCAAGAUUAGAUUGGCAUUUUAGAAAGACGACUUUAUAAUAAUUUUUAUGCUGUUCUUACUUUAUGUACCUUUUCUGUAUAUGUGUUAUUUUCACAAUAAACAUGAUUUUAAAAAAAGAAGAGCUGAUUUUGUCUGCAGUGUAGAUGGGUUUAGACUCAAAAUGUGAGACAAGAUGCAGUUAUUUUCCUUUUUGGGUCUCAUUUAUUUAUUUGUAAAAAUAUGGGCAAUAACACCUCCUGGCAUUAUGUAUGUUAUAUUCCCAGCAUAUAGUACUCAAGUAAAUAUAGUUCUUAUUAAUUUUAAUGAUGAAAGGAGUCUGAAUUAAGGCAAAUGCAAUGGGAAUGGAGAAAGGGAAAUAGAUGGCAGUGAUGUUAAAGAGGUAGAUUGUACAAGCGUCAGGGGCUGAUUGAAUGCCUCAGGGAGGCAGGGUGAGGGAGUUGCCUUACUUCUCAGGGAUCCCACUUGGGUGACUAGGCAGAUGGUGAUGUAAUUUACUUAGAAAGAGAAAACAGGAAAAGUCCAGGGUUACUGGUGGAAGCUUGGGAAUGAGAGGAAUUAUGAGCUCAGUGUAGAACUUGUUAUACUUGGGAUGCACAUGGAGAUGCCUGGAGACAGUUGGCUCUGUGAGUCUGUAGCUCAGGGGAAGUUAAGCUCCAGGAUGGAUAUUGGGGAGUUGGUAUUUUCUAAGGAAAAUGUGCUCAGAGUAAUGAACAGAACUGAGAUUAGAAGCAUAGAGAGCAUUUUAAGAGAGAAACAACAGAACAGGAGGCAAAAAAAAAAAAAAAAAAAAAAAAAAAAGAAAAAGAAAAAAAGGAGAAGAAGGAGAUGAGGAAAAAAUGGUCCUAUAUAUUAAAAGUAGAAGGAAUUAUAAGACAAGAGAGGAGAAAAUUGUUAAGAGGAAAUGAGUAGUUAAUAUUGUCAGCUGCCACAAAGAGGUCAGCUAAGGUUUGCACUGGGAAAAAAAGAAGCAGUAGAUUUAGUAACGAUGGGGAGGGAGAAUAUCAGAGUUUUGCCAGAAACCCUUGAGUCUGGAGUGGUACGGCUGGAGUCCAGAUUGCAGUCUGUGGAGGAGUGGACAGGAGACCAAGAAAUUCUCGAGUUCUCUUCAGAGACCAACUGGGGAUCAACAAUUCAAUUUAAUUCUGACACCCAAGGAAGAAGAGAGUGCACCUGAUGUAGUAGCCACUGUAAGAACUGUGUUGGAGAAUGAUCCGAUUGGCCAGUGCAAGAGGGAUUGCAGAGAAGAAGAAACCACAAGCAGAAAAACCAGAUGAGGAAAUUAAGCUAAAUAUUAACUAUCUCAAGAAUAUUCCCAGAAGUGACUGCUAAAUUUAAAUCCCUGCUCACAAUGAAAUACUGUACAGCAGGGGUUCUCAAACUUUUUGGUCUUAGGACCCUUACAGCCUUAAAAAUUAUUGAGAACUCCAAAGAACUUUCAAUUAUGUGGGUCAUAACUACUGAUACUUACUGUAUUAUAACUUGAAACUGAAAAAAUUUUUAAAUAUUUAUAAACAUUUAAAAAUAAUAAACCCAUUGUAAGCUAAUGUAAAUAGCAUGUUUUUAUUAAAAAUCACUUUGUUUUCCAAAGCAAAAAAUGUAGUGAGAAGAGAGGCCUUCUUUUACAUUUUAAUAUCUGGCUUAUGAGAAAAUAGCUGAGUUUCUCAUUUCUGCUUCUCCAUUUAAUCUGUUGGUGUAUAUUUUAUUUAAAGUACAGUUAACCCUUGAAGAACGUGGGUCUGAACUGUGCAGGUCCACUUAUACAUGGAUUUUUUUCUAAUAAAAGUUGCAAAUAUG